AGUGGGCGUGAAAAAGAGUUACUUGAGGAACUUGCAUCGUUGAAAAAUGGUGGUUUUGCCAGUGCACCUGUGAAGCCAAAACCUGUACAUAAAGAGAAUGGAAGCCGUGCUGCUCCAGAAGUAUCAGAUCAACCUGAUGAUGGGGAGGGUGACUGGUUGAAGAAACUUUCUGAUUUUGCUGGAUCCAUUGUCAACGGGGCAUCCAAGUGGCUGAAGGACAACCUGUAGCCCCUGUAAAUAUUCACCGCGCAAUGCAUUCUCUUCAACGCCAGUUAUGGUGUUAUCUUAUCUGCAAUUCUUCAAUCCAUCAGGAUUCGACGAGCUGUUGCAUGCAUGUGUUCUGUUGGAGAGGCUCAUCUUUUACGGCAGUGAAGUGGCAACGGAGAGGUUUAGUGUCAACUAAUUUUAUUGACGCCAUAUUUAUUUUGUUUUGAGAUACCCUUGUAAAGCAUGAAUUUUGCUGUAGACGCACUCAUAUUUCCUAGAGCAUGUAACAGUCGUCUGAUUCACGGCCGCUGAUAUCAAGCUCGAUGAAGCUUACAUUCUUUGUAAAUACAUAUCUUUUUCCAGUAGAGCAUCCCGGUACAUGAGGCUACGCAAGUGAAUAUCCUUCUCGUCGCUCCAAAUUCAGAAUAAACAGGCAUCCGCAUCUUCAAGUGCAAUUUUUUGCGAUAGAACACAAGAUUUCCGGACAGAAUACUACUUUUUUGCAUUCUGUUCUUGUUCU